rnacentral:rRNA from 1 species
AUACGUAGGUGGCGAGCGUUGUCCGGAAUUACUGGGUGUAAAGGGCGUGUAGGCGGGGAUGCAAGUCAGAUGUGAAAUACUAAGGCUUAACCUUGGGGCUGCAUCUGAAACUGUGUUUCUUGAGUGUCGGAGAGGAAAGCGGAAUUCCCAGUGUAGCGGUGAAAUGCGUAGAGAUUGGGAGGAACACCAGUGGCGAAGGCGGCUUUCUGGACGACAACUGACGCUGAGGCGCGAAAGCGUGGGGAGCAAACAGGAUUAGAUACCCUGGUAGUCCACGCCGUAAACGAUGGAUACUAGGUGUAGGAGGUAUCGACCCCUUCUGUGCCGGAGUUAACACAAUAAGCACUCCGCCUGGGGAGUACGGCCGCAAGGCUAAA